UGGUAGAAUCCUUUUGAAAUUGAG
rnacentral:piRNA from 1 species